ncrna:unclassified sequences type-P1 twister ribozyme
AAUGUAAUGCAACUUCUUUCGCAAGAAAGAAACGGUCCCAAGUCCGUAUAAAUGCAGAGGGUGCU